UGUUCAAAUGCCUUGCCCGGGCAGGUUAUUGCGUGUGUUUAUUUCUCAUUGGUAUCGUUUUUCGAAGCGAAGAUCGAUCUACUAGUUAUACCAAAGGCGCUGGAAAUAUUGAUGUCAUAGAAGCUGCUUGAUGCUGCAGACAUCACUAGUAGUAGCUAUCAAUUUUUUAGACAGACCAGGCGCCGAAUAUUCAAGAAAGUUGUCUGUGAGAGCACGAAGAAUGCUUGGGAUUGCUUGCGAUACUUCCCGCGAGUUGUUGAUCGAGUGAGCUUAUCAAAUAAUGGCAUUUGUGUUCAAGCAGAGGUUUGUCUAUUUAGACGAAAGAGCCUGUAGUAAAUUGGUGAUGUGAAUAUCCUGUAGUUAUGUGUGGAUCUGCAGUCAUAUACUUAAAUCAACAUUCCGUGACAUGUCUAUAUAAGCAGCUUGUCGCUGAGAUCCUCACUUGUGUUUUCCAACUGGUUCAACUGCUCUAGUGAAGAAGGCGCCACUGCUGGUUAAAGAUUGAUUCGAAGAAUCAAGACGUCUUCAUCUCCGUUCAGAGAACCAUUUCCAUUAAUUUCGACCCGAGAAGGUAGCAAAAUGGGUCUGCAUUUAAAAUAAUAUAAAAUAGAUACAUUCAAGUCUAUUGAGAACCUAGAAAAAUAAUUACAUAGCUGUCCAGGCGACUGUCACAAAAAUUUGGACCUCAUAACAGGCCUUAAUUUUUUGUAAAAAUGUUCAUACGUUCUCUGUAUUUUCCCGCAUUGGCUCUAUCCCGAUUUCACAAGAUUGUCCAAGCUGGGUUGACAGCAGUUAUGACUCGGAGGUGUCUAUGCCAUGUCUGCUAUCUACCCAUUUUGCUACCCCCUCCAGUCAAAAUUCAUUUUAUUUUCUUUAUCUUUUCUCAUUACUCUGGUAGCAGAGGCUAUUUUUCCCGGUCCGUGAAACGUGAUCCAUUACAACCCUGUUAUAUGUGUUACAGGAAACACUUACAGUGUUUGUAUUAAUGACAGCAAAUCUUUGGUGGUUGAAAAUAAUGUGUCUUAAAUUUUUGCCCUAUGACAGGUCUUCCAAUAGGGUUUUGGAUUCCGGAUCCUAGUGUGUGAAUUCCGGAUUCCAUGUGGGUUUUUUUCCCGUGGAUGCCGGAUUCCAUUUUUGUUUCCAGGAUUCUUGUAUUCCGGAUUCCAACUUAAGUCUUUGAUUCCGAAUCCUACUGUGUGGAUUCCGGAUCCUAGUGUAAGGAUUCCGGAUUCCAGUAGCAUGGAUUCCGGAUUUCAAGUCUUAUUUUUUCAUGAAUUCCGGAUUCCGGAUUACCUGUCAAGGGGCAAAAAUUUUGUAAAGGUUAACAUUUUAAGAAGGAUAACUGUGCUUUGUGAAUAAAGUUGGAGAAGGAUAGUGUUUUAAAAGAUAUGUAUUCACAAAAAAUUGCAAAAUAUAAUAUCCACAAUCAAA